rnacentral:lncRNA from 1 species
AUGCCAAAACAUGAAAAGUAAAUAUCAAUGAAUAUAUAUGUAAUACUCAAAACUACAUAGUUGAUCAAAAGUAAAUCAAAAAGAAUAUCCAUAAGAAAAUAAUUAAUACUAAUACAUUGCGUGUUUUGUGCAAGACGAUAAUUGACUACAAAGUGGCCCACAUCUUGAGCAGUAGAACCAAAACCACCAAGAUAAGAUAAAUUGACAUGCUCCCAUAUAUGCCUUUAGUCCUGAUACAAAAAUCAUGAUGCAAUCCAAAAAGAAAAACAAUAACAGGAAACUUUAAAUAAGUUAACUGAGACAUAUUAUCAAACAACUUAGAUGCAUAAUCCACUUGAUAUAAAGAUUUUUGUUAGACAAUCUAACUUUUUCACUUAUUAAUGACCGUAAAUAUUGAAUUUAUCAAAGAAAAAUAAUGCAUGUGCAAAUUAAGCAGUUAGUAAGGAACAUGUAGAAAUCUUAGCUAGAAACUAUAUCAAUAGAGAAGGAAACUAUGGUACACAUACGAAAUUGUGUUUACUUUUAAUGUUCACUCACAAAGAAUUGAAGUGACCAGCAAGAAGGAACUCAGAAGAACAAAUCAGAGCAAACAUGAUAGCGAGCAAAAAGUGAAAGGAUUUUAGCUUUGUGUACAUACUCUAGAGACAAAGUAAAGCAAAAACAAGGGUGGAAUUUAGUAUAGUAAAUUGGAGCGGAGAAUUGGAAAAGAAAUAGAAGUACUGAAUUAUAGUAAAAUUUACCCCAAAAUAAAUCUGAGAACUGUUUAACACUGAUGAAUGAGGGAAAAUUGGAGCGGAGAAUUGGACAUAGUAGAAUGAGAUAACCAAUUUUGUUAUUAAUGUAUAUCACAUUUCAUUGGAGCAGAGAAUCGAGAUAACCAAUUUUGUUAUUCAUGUCUAUCACAUUCACAUAAGUAUAUAAUCGAGACAAUUAAUUUCAUGAACUUCAAGUAUCCAAAUAUUUGGACCAAAAUAUAGUAAUCGUCAAAUCAGUGAGUUUCUAAUAAAAUUCGUUUGAUUUAGCAAAUUAUAAAUCUUUAUGGACCAAAAUAUUCAAAAUAAGAAGAAAUUCAAAAUCUGCUAAUGCAAUCCCAUCAUAAUGAAAUGAGUAAAACAAAGGAAGAAGAGAAAAUAACACACAAUCAAACAUGCACCCAAGGAUAAGUUGAAACAAAGCAAAAGACACACAUACCUUGUUGAAUUAAUCACACAAACAAAGCAAUAAGGUGUUUAAAUUUAAGUUCAAAAAGAUUGUUACCUGAACUAUAUUUGAUCUUUCCUACAUUAGGUAAUUUCAACAAUGUCAAAGAGCAGAUUUAUUGAUUCCCUGUAAAUAAAGAAAACACCCAACAAAUUAAGAACAUUUAAUAGUAGUUUCUUUACCAUUUCAAGAACUUCAUUAGACAACUUCAUAAAGAAUAGGUUGGAAUAAUUGGAG